GUUCUCGUAGCUUACUUACUCAAAGCAUAACACUGAAGAUGUUAAGACGGUACCUUCCCUACCCUAGAACA
rnacentral:tRNA from 1 species